rnacentral:rRNA from 2 species
UACGUAGGGAGCAAGCGUUGUCCGGAUUUACUGGGUGUAAAGGGUGCGUAGGCGGCUAGGCAAGUCAGACGUGAAAACCAUGGGCUCAACCUGUGGACUGCGUUUGAAACUGUUUAGCUUGAGUGAAGUAGAGGUAGGCGGAAUUCCCGGUGUAGCGGUGAAAUGCGUAGAGAUCGGGAGGAACACCAGUGGCGAAGGCGGCCUACUGGGCUUUAACUGACGCUGAGGCACGAAAGCAUGGGUAGCAAACAGG